CUACGGGUGGCUGCAGUGAGGGAUUUUGCGCAAUGGGGGGAACCCUGACGCAGCAACGCCGCGUGAGUGAAGAAGGCCCUUGGGUCGUAAAGCUCUGUCAACAGGGAAGAAGUUAUGGAUUUUUAAUAGAGAUUUGUAUUGACGGUACCUGUGAAGGAAGCACCGGCUAACUCCGUGCCAGCAGCCGCGGUAAUACGGGGGGUGCAAGCGUUAUUCGGAAUUAUUGGGCGUAAAGGGCGCGCAGGCGGCCUUGUCAGUCAGAUGUGAAAGGCCAGGGCUCAACCCUGGAAGUGCAUUUGAAACAGCAAGGCUUGAGUACGGUAGAGGAAAGGGGAAUUCCUGGUGUAGAGGUGAAAUUCGUAGAUAUCAGGAGGAACACCGGUGGCGAAGGCGCCUUUCUGGACCUGUACUGACGCUGAGGCGCGAAGGCGUGGGUAGCGAACAGGAUUAGAUACCCCGGUAGUC
rnacentral:rRNA from 1 species